rnacentral:rRNA from 1 species
GACAGAGGGUGCAAACGUUGUUCGGAAUUACUGGGCGUAAAGCGUGUGUAGGCGGUCCGGUAAGUCCGCUGUGAAAGUCCAGGGCUCAACCCUGGAAUGCCGGUGGAUACUGCCGGGCUAGAGUCCGGAAGAGGCGAGUGGAAUUCCUGGUGUAGCGGUGAAAUGCGCAGAUAUCGGGAGGAACACCAAUGGCGAAGGCAGCUUGCUGGGACGGUACUGACGCUGAGACGCGAAAGCGUGGGGAGCAAACAGG